rnacentral:pre_miRNA from 1 species
ACUGGGGUGGGGGGGACCUCAGCCCGGAUUGCUAGAAGAUGCAGGCCAGGCCGAGGGACCCCAACAGAGCACG